ensembl:lncRNA
GGUGGCUUUUAUCCUCUUAGGGCUGCACACCGGAGGAUGGAGGGCGGCGGAGAGGAAAGAACGCGUGCCCUUAAACACUUGCUGCUGCUCCCCCAGAUGGUCUGGGGGCGGCCAGCACCAGGGAUGACCUCUGCGGCACCAGGCACAGAGGCCUGGGACCCUCUGAGCAGAGCUGAGGAGCAGGGAACCAGGAAGCCAACCCAGCCCAUCGUCGUCUUGGUGCUUGGCCUUUCUUCAGGAUUUGUUCGGUCUUUUUCCAUCAUCUCCUUAAAAUAUUUUUCUCCUGAGUUUUCUGCUAGUUACAAGACUCACAGUCUUCUCUGGCCACACUCCCAAACUUGCAAACAGAAGUAUUAUUGAGAAAACACCAUGGGAAGCUUGUCUUUAAAGAAGGAAGGCUCGGUGUCCCCUUGUGGCUCGACGGGUUAAGAAUCCCCUUAGUAUCCAAGAGGAUGCGGGUUCAAUCCCUGCCCUUGCUCAGUGGCUUAAGGAUCCGGCAUUGCCGACAGCUGUGGUGUAGGUCGAAGACUCAGCAAGGAUCUUGUGUUGUUGUGGCAUUGGCUGGCAGCUACAGCUCUGAUUGGACCCCUAGCCUGGGAGCCUCUGUAUGCCGCAGGUAAGGCCUUAAAAAAAAUAAAGAAAGAAAGAAGGAAGCCUCAAAGGAAAUUAAAACAGACCCCUUGCUCCGUCCACACAGUCAGGACAGAGGUGGGGUGCCACGUCCGGCGUUGCAGGGCAACAGGAGAUCCUGGAAGAGGGACCACGCAGCAUAAUAAAACACACAAGACUCUUUCGCAUCUAGAAAGUGGGGGACCAGGAGGCCCUCCGUUCCGCAGAACCAAGGCGCCCAGGCUUUAGCCCACAUGCCUUUUAUCAGGGAAGGUGACGUAGGUUCGUGAGCAAAAUCAGGUGCAGGUAAUGAUAAAACUCUCUCGGUGGCUGUGCUUUUGCACAUGCGCUGAGUUUGUUUAUUGCUUCGGUCGGCAGUUUCACUGGUCUCCAGCAGUGGGGUCCUGGCCAUGUCCAGCCCCCGUGAGUUUUCCCCAAAGGAAAGUGGGAGGCGAUAUCGGAGAAGCAGAGCGUUGUGAGCGCCCAAAGCCUUCACCCUUUUCGAAAGUAGGUGCCCGCCUGACGGGUGUGCAGCUUUGCCCUGAAACAGUGGGCCACCUGGCGGCACUGGGCGUCCAGGACUCAGCCUUGCAGGCGGACGUGGGGUGUUUCCUCCCCAGCCCUGCCUGGUGCUGGAGGGGAGUUCUGGUCUCUUCCGAGGCCAAGGUGCUUCCGCAGGGUGGCUGGAGCACGCGUGCUUGCUGCAGGCCCAGUGCCAGCCGGGCAGUGGCCUGGAGACCACGGGGCAGAGCCGGAGCGCCAUGCUCCUCUCUGCGUGGCUGUGCUGCGUGUGGACGAGUCCUCAGAAAGAGAAAAACUGCUCUCCUGAGAACAGGUGGUCCAGGUGGGGACAUUCGCCUGAAGCCACACCUGCAGAACCGGAAUGGCGUGCAGACUGGACGCUCCGGGAGGCAGAGAGUUUGGGGCUCCUCCAGGCCUGGUCUCAGUGCUCACACAGUCAGUGCCCAGGCCCGCGAAGAUGCGCCAGGACUGUAUGCCUUAGUAGAGUGAAGGGCUGCUUGUCUGAAGUUUCCACGGAACAGGAGGGCACCCUAAUCUGGAGGUGGGCAUCAAUGCUUUUUUUUUCCUAAGUUAUGUCUCCAAACCGGGUGGCUACUUUGGCGAGACCCCAAACACCCAACGACCAGCCAAACCAAACCCCCAGACACCCUUCAAGCUUCCCCAUCGACGUCUGGGAGCCACAGCAGAGCGUGUCCCCGCUCUGAGGGGCAGCCUUAAACUUCCGAAGCUGACUGGCCGCGGCCCUGACCCGCUCCUUCCCUCUGAAACGCAGGCCCGCGUCUCCCGCUGGCCUCCCUCCCUUUGGGGGUGGUUUCUUGCCGCCGCCUCCGUGGGGGUUUGUGUGUAGCACGGUGGCAUCAAGAAAAAAGCGAACACUUACGUGGUGCUUGCUGCCCUUUGAGACAGUUCUUCUUUGACGAAGGCCUUGCCCCUGUGUGGCCAGAAUCCCAGCCGGCCUGACUUGGGAUUAACGGUGUCCAUUCGUGGAGGAAGGUGGGGGCAGGUGCGUCAGAGCACGUGCUGCCCGUCAGACGGCUCAGCUGAUGACCCUGUGCCGGAAAAGGACUCGGCUGGCAUGGCCCCUCGCGGGGACAGGUGCUCAGGCACAGAGUGGGUCCCUUUGGCAAAGGAUGACGCCCGGGCAUGAAUAUGUAUGUUUUGAGGAAGGAGUGACAGUGGAGACAGGACAAAGGACCGCAGCCAGGGCCCCCUCCCCAAGGCCUAUAAUGACACCAGGAGCCAGAGCUUCCUUGAGGAAAGCUGGUCCUGCUCACUUUUCGAGGUGAAACUGCACCUGAAGCCACGUUCCUGCGACGGGAACACUGCGGGCUCCUUCUGGCAGCAUCAUCAACACGACGUCUUUAUGCUGACUGCAUCCUCUGUCCAGAGACGUCGGAAAAAACAGGAUGAGCCCCUUGGGUCUAAAGAGGACGCUCCACUUCCUUUCUCAAAACCUUCCGCCGUGUCCUCCCACCUUUGGUCUUGAAUUCUAGAAGAUGGAUCUGCUGGCCCCGGACCCAAGAAGACAGUGCGCCACGGGUCUUUUCCACAGCAGCUCCGUCUCACGAAACACAGGUGCUUUUUACCGGAUCUUUCCUGCGGCAUUUAAAAAAAUCUGCCCUGCACUUUGCCACAUUGAGUUUUUCCAUCCCCAAGGCACCGCUGCGAGCUGGUGGGAGGGGAAAGCGUUAAGUUCUCUUAGGCCUGCGGAGAGGAGAGGUCGACAGGUCCUGAAUCACACAGGGACUCAGAAUACCUGCCUGGGCGGUUUCUGAGUCAGUUUGAGGGCUGGCUGUUUAUACAGCAGGAGGUAUUUCUUCAUUUGGGGAGCUUCAUUUGGGGGGGGGGGCUCACUGAGUGUUUACUCCCUGCUCCCAAGCCAACAAAGUGAAAACAAAAAUAUAUUCAGCAAAGUGUGUAGAGGAGUUCUCUUGUGAUAACUCUACAGCUGGGUUAUUUAUUAUGAAGCCGGAAAAGCCUAUUCGAAAGCUAGCUGCAGCUUUUUUUUUUUUUUUUUUUCUGUCUUUUGUCUUUUUUGUUGUUGUUGUUGUUGUUGUUGUUGCUAUUUCUUGGGCCGCUCCCGCGGCAUAUGGAGGUUCCCAGGCUAGGGGUCGAAUCGGAGCUGUAGCCACCGGCCUACGCCAGAGCCACAGCAACGCGGGAUCCGAGCCGCGUCUGCAACCUACACCACAGCUCACGGCAACGCCGGAUCGUUAACCCACUGAGCAAGGGCAGGGACCGAACCCCCAACCUCAGGGUUCCUAGUCGGAUUCGUUAACCACUGCGCCACGACGGGAACUCCUAGCUGCAGCUUUUGAAGGGGAUUUUUCGGUGCAGGUCUGAGCCCUCAUGACUGGCGUCACCCCCAUCCCAAUGGUGGGGAAAAGGCCUCUGAGUGGCAAGAGCAACAACUAAGCCCACUGGACACAAACAAUUUUCUUAUGUUUGGGUGAAAGGGGACUUUCCAAAGAGCCCCUUUUCCUGUCCUUCCCGGAGGCUCAUGCUGGGGACAAGAUGGCAGGGGGGAUGGGAGUCCUUGGGCACCUGAACAAGCCUCUCCCGCACACUGGCAGUCUGGGACACCACCUUCAGCCCAAUUAAUAGUUUUUGUUCCUGUUUUUCCUGUUUCAGCCAUACCUGCGGCAUAUGGAAGUUCCUGGGGCCAGGGACUGAAUCCGAACCACAUCUGCAACCUAUGCCACAGCUGGAUCCAGCAACACUGGAUUCUGCAACCCACUGCACUGGGCUAGGGCUGGAACUGGCGCCUCCACAGAGACAAGCCAGAUCAUUAACCCACUGCGCCAUAGCAGGAAUUCCCCAAUUAAUAUUAAUCAGNUUAACCCACUGCACCAUAGCAAGAAUUCCCCAAUUAAUAUUAAUCAAUGUGUGUCAAUGACUGGUUCUAAAUGAAAAGUCUCCCCUUUUUAGAUUCUGCUGUGGUUGAAACUCCUAUUUUCUCUGAUGCAAUAAAAUAAUCUUAGAAGUUGGUUGGAACCA